GCGGCUCUCUGGCUUCUACGGUGGGAGAAAACUCAAGUUCAAGUGCGGACGUGACGUUCAGUCUGCGGUGAGAAGGGAGAGUGGAGACUGAAGAGCACUGGGGGCGACUAGUGUUUUCUCUCUGCAGAGCGUGGAGGCUGCAGCAGGCCCGAGGUUUCUUCUCAUCCAUCACAGCCUCCAAACCUGCGGUUGUCGUCCCGAUUCCUACAGAUUUCCGUACUUAGUUGGGGAGAUUGCAGGUGUAUCCUGCAGAUCAGCCAUUUUAACGUGUGGAAGAAUCCCUGCAGCCCCUGUCUCCCCAUCAUCAGGCCACAGAGUAGACUUAAAACAUUCAACUUCUUUCAGCAAUUAAAUUGAAUUAAUAAAUCUGUCUUCUCUGCGAUUUAAAAAUCAAAUUGCAAUCAACUUUUUGGAGAAGAGAAUGAGGCUUUCUUCACUGCGGCCAGCAUCAGCAUCAGCAUCAUGGGCUUCUUGUCCUUGCAACCUGAUUGGCUCAUUAGUCAGAUGGGCGACAGGUGCAUCAUUCCGCUUCCUUACUGGACGUUUUUCCAGAGGUGAUUUCUCACUUAAAGGCCAUCAGUGUGAGUUAUGGCGUCCUGCUUCCAUCCGUCCCUUCAUUUGCAUAUAUAUGUAUGUGCGUGUUUGUUUUUAUGUUAAUUCUAAAUAAUUCCUUCCUUCACUUCUUCUUUUUUUUUUUUUUUACUCCAUCGCAUCGUUUGGCGCGGUUAAAUUUUAAUUAGAGGGACGUGGAGGUGUCCUUUGGAGUUUUAAGAUCACUUUGCCGGCAACUGUUCACCGCUAAACUGCUAAUAUUGAUGUUUACGAGUGGAGAUGCAGGCUGGCAGAUUAAACUUGAUGCGGGGAGAAACAAAUGUGCACUUUAAGAGGAUCUGAGCUGUGAGAGGAAUGUUUGAUGUGUGCCUUCACUCUUUCUUCUUCUUCCACUUUUUCAGCCAAUCAGGAGCUCUUUGUUUAUUACAAAGACAUCCCUCUGAACAAUAGCCUAAUAAACAUCCUUUAUAUGA